ACUACGGGUGGCAGCAGUGAGGAAUAUUGGUCAAUGGACGAGAGUCUGAACCAGCCAAGUAGCGUGAAGGAUGACUGCCCUAUGGGUUGUAAACUUCUUUUAUAAAGGAAUAAAACGAGGCACGUGUGCCUUUUUGCAUGUACUUUAUGAAUAAGGAUCGGCUAACUCCGUGCCAGCAGCCGCGGUAAUACGGAGGAUCCGAGCGUGAUCCGGAUUUAUUGUGUUUAAAGGGAGCGUAGAUGGGUUGUUAAGUCAGUUGUGAAAGUUUGCGGCUCAACCGUAAAAUUGCAAUUGAUACUGGGAGUCUUGAGUACAGUUGAGGGAUGCGGAAUUCGUGGUGUAGCGGUGAAAUGCUUAGAUAUCACGAAGAACCCCGAGUGCGAAGGCAGCUUACUAAACUGUGACUGACACUGAUGCUCGAAAGUGUGGGUAUCAAACAGGAUUAGAUACCCGAGUAGUC
rnacentral:rRNA from 1 species